CGGAGAACAUGGCAGGAACACUUCUCCGAUUUCAAACGUAAAAAUGCCUUUAAAUUUGCCGAAACAAAUCAGAACGGCUGCAGCAGAAGAGGUGACUGACCCCUCGGCCCAUGAGGUGUGAGGGAGAAUGAUGAGUGCCAGUUUUCAGAAUGACGAGGUGCAGUGCCCAGUUUAAGCAGGGUCAUGGAACAACUCUUCCCUCCGUGAAAAAACCUCCAUGGAGACAGAAAUAACUCUGGGCCAAGUCUCAGUAGAACCAUACCUUAACCCGAGGUCACCAACCAGGGACACGUUUUCCAGUGGUCAUUCCAUUCUGCUACACUAGGAUGCGAAUCCUACCAAACUGGAGCGUCACCUAUUCACAAAUAUAGUGCCUUCAUAGCUUUUUGUUAGAAAUAUCUUUUUGUAAAACCUAUUAGUGAUUUUUAAAUAUCAACAGAUGAAGAUACCAGUUCAAGUUAAGCAUUUGAAUUUGUCCUAAACAUUUCAAAUGCUAUAUUGAAAGUUUCACAAUCAGUGGUUGUUUGUACAUUUCAUCAUUGGUGCCCGUUCAUAAUCCAGGACAAAAUUUGACACGUCCUUCUUGUGCUGGUCGUUCAAAUUGCAUUAGCCCGUUGAUGAUGUAUUUUAUCGUGGCUUUAGGUUGAUUGGACUUAACUGCAUGAGGUAACGCCUGGUAACUGUCUUGACUUUGUCGGCAACAAGCGGUUCCUGUGAAGUACAAUCAGGACCAAGUGUGUUGUCGCACCACUUUCGCUGUCACAAUCACAUCAACAUUAUCAGGAUGAUCAGGUCACAUAUCGCCGAUACUUCGGAGGAGUCGGGGGAGUGUAAAAGCAGAAAAUUUCCCCUGGAAAAGUGUCCGGGCCUAUUGUAUUCUGUCGGAUUAUGCUAUAAAUGGUUCUGUACAAGAUGCCAUGACCACCAAUAGCUCCAGAUUAAAGUGAGUGAUAGAAUGCUUGGUCCCCGGACAUUCUAUCCCCGGCUGU